UGGAUCCAGACUUUGAUUAUGGCUCAGGAUGAACGCUGGCGGCAUGCCUAAGACAUGCAAGUCGAACGCGAGGGCCCAUGAAGGGAAACGGAGGUUGGAGGUGCUUGCACCAAAGAUGGAGGUUUACCGGAAUGGAAUAUCCCUCGAGUGGCAAACGGGUGAGUAACACGUGGGUAACCUACCUCUAUGUUGGGGAUAACAGUUGGAAACGACUGCUAAUACCGAAUGUGCUCUAAGGAGUAAAGGAGCCUUUAAAGCUUCGCGUAGAGAUGGGCCUGCGGUGCAUUAGCUAGUUGGUGGGGUAAGGGCCUACCAAGGCAACGAUGCAUAGCCGAGCUGAGAGGUUGAUCGGCCACACUGGGACUGAGACACGGCCCAGACUCCUACGGGAGACAGCAGUUAGGAAUAUUCGUCAAUGGGGGGAACCCUGAACGAGCAAUGCCGCGUGAAUGAAGAAGGCCCUAUGGGUUGUAAAAUUCUGUUGUAUGGAAAGAAAGAUAUGAAUAGGAAAUGAUUUGUAUUUGACGGUACCAUUCAAGAAAGCCACGGCUAACUACGUGCCAGCAGCCGCGGUAAUACGUAGGUGGCGAGCGUUAUCCGGAUUUAUUGGGCGUAAAGCGUGCGCAGGCGGUUUGAUAAGUCUAAAAUUAAAGUCCGAAGCUUAACUUCGGUUCGUUUUAGAAACUGUCAGGCUAGAGUGCGGUAGAGGCAAAUGGAAUUUCUAGUGUAGCGGUAAAAUGCGUAGAUAUUAGAAGGAACACCAGUGGCGAAGGCGAUUUGCUGGGCCGCAACUGACGCUCAUGCACGAAAGCGUGGGGAGCAAAUAGGAUUAGAUACCCUAGUAGUCCACGCCGUAAACGAUGAGUACUAAGUGUCGGGAAACCGGUGCUGAAGUUAACACAUUAAGUACUCCGCCUGAGUAGUACGGUCGCAAGGCUGCAAGUCAAAUGAAUUGACGGA
rnacentral:rRNA from 1 species